CUUUCGCCUUGUCUCUGUUUGUUUAGAACAUUUAGGCUGCCCAGACGCAGUUGGAAAGAUUCUCGCUAUUCUUUAACAGAAUAUUUAUCAAAUCAUCAUCUACGUACGGUCGUCUGACACCAUGAAUCGUGUACUGAUCAUCCUAUUGGUUGUUGCCCUAGUUGGCAUGCAAAUGGGCGCAGAUGGCGCUGUCACUGCUACCAGUUCAGAGGCAAUGCAAAAACGUGGAGGGGUGUUUUCACACAUUAAAAGUGGCGCAAAGAAGUUUGGUAACUUUGUAAAGAAUACCGGAAAGAAAGUCCUUGGUAAAAUAAAGGAUGUAUUCAAUUAGACGAAGAAAGAAACCGAGUUCGCAUGCCAAAACAGAAAGAGAUCAUUGACCACUCUUUCGGGGAUAGUGGCAUCUUGGAGUGAAAUAAAGUUAAUU